GACGAACGCUGGCGGCGUGCUUAACACAUGCAAGUCGAACGGAAAGGCCCUGCUUUUGUGGGGUGCUCGAGUGGCGAACGGGUGAGUAACACGUGAGUAACCUGCCCUUGACUUUGGGAUAACUUCAGGAAACUGGGGCAAAUACCGGAUAGGAGCUCCUGCUGCAUGGUGGGGGUUGGAAAGUUUCGGCGGUUGGGGAUGGACUCGCGGCUUAUCAGCUUGUUGGUGGGGUAGUGGCUUACCAAGGCUUUGACGGGUAGCCGGCCUGAGAGGGUGACCGGCCACAUUGGGACUGAGAGACGGCCCAGACUCCUACGGGAGGCAGCAGUGGGGAAUAUUGCACAAUGGGCGGAAGCCUGAUGCAGCAACGCCGCGUGCGGGAUGACGGCCUUCGGGUUGUAAACCGCUUUCGCCUGUGACGAAGCGUGAGUGACGGUAAUGGGUAAAGAAGCACCGGCUAACUACGUG
rnacentral:rRNA from 1 species